rnacentral:rRNA from 1 species
CGAACGAUGAAGCCCCAGCUUGCUGGGUGGAUUAGUGGCGAACGGGUGAGUAACACGUGAGUAACCUCCCCUUGACUCUGGGAUAAGCGUUGGAAACGACGUCUAAUACCGGAUACGAGCUUCCACCGCAUGGUGAGUUGCUGGAAAGAAUUUUGGUCAAGGAUGGACUCGCGGCCCUAUCAGCUAGUUGGUGAGGUAACGGCUCACCAAGGCGACGACGGGUAGCCGGCCUGAGAGGGUGACCGGCCACACUGGGACUGAGACACGGCCCAGACUCCUACGGGAGGCAGCAGUGGGGAAUAUUGCACAAUGGGCGAAAGCCUGAUGCAGCAACGCCGCGUGAGGGACGACGGCCUUCGGGUUGUAAACCUCUUUUAGCAGGGAAGAAGCGAAAGUGACGGUACCUGCAGAAAAAGCACCGGCUAACUACGUGCCAGCAGCCGCGGUAAUACGUAGGGUGCAAGCGUUGUCCGGAAUUAUUGGGCGUAAAGAGCUCGUAGGCGGUUUGUCGCGUCUGCUGUGAAAUCCCGAGGCUCAACCUCGGGUCUGCAGUGGGUACGGGCAGACUAGAGUGCGGUAGGGGAGAUUGGAAUUCCUGGUGUAGCGGUGGAAUGCGCAGAUAUCAGGAGGAACACCGAUGGCGAAGGCAGAUCUCUGGGCCGUUACUGACGCUGAGGAGCGAAAGGGUGGGGAGCAAACAGGCUUAGAUACCCUGGUAGUCCACCCCGUAAACGUUGGGCGCUAGAUGUG